AUUGAACGCUGGCGGCAUGCCUUACACAUGCAAGUCGAACGGCAGCACGGGAGCAAUCCUGGUGGCGAGUGGCGAACGGGUGAGUAAAGUAUCGGAACGUGCCCAGUCGUGGGGGAUAACGUAGCGAAAGUUACGCUAAUACCGCAUACGAUCUAUGGAUGAAAGCGGGGGAUCGCAAGACCUCGCGCGAUUGGAGCGGCCGAUAUCAGGUUAGGUAGUUGGUGGGGUAAAGGCCCACCAAGCCGACGAUCUGUAGCUGGUCUGAGAGGACGACCAGCCACACUGGGACUGAGACACGGCCAGACUCCUACGGGAGGCAGCAGUGGGGAAUUUUGGACAAGGGGCGAAAGCCUGAUCCAGCCAUGCCGCGUGCAGGAUGAAGGCCUUCGGGUUGUAAACUGCUUUUGUACGGAACGAAAAGGACUGCCCUAAUACGGUGGUCCCAUGACGGUACCGUAAGAAUAAGCACCGGCUAACUACGUGCCAGCCGCCGCCGUAA
rnacentral:rRNA from 1 species